AUUGAACGCUGGCGGCAGGCUUAACACAUGCAAGUCGAGCGGGGUGAUGGUGCUUGCACUAUCACUUAGCGGCGGACGGGUGAGUAAUGCUUAGGAAUCUGCCUAUUAGUGGGGGACAACAUCUCGAAAGGGAUGCUAAUACCGCAUACGUCCUACGGGAGAAAGCAGGGGAUCACUUGUGACCUUGCGCUAAGAGAUGAGCCUAAGUCGGAUUAGCUAGUUGGUGGGGUAAAGGCCUACCAAGGCGACGAUCUGUAGCGGGUCUGAGAGGAUGAACCGCCACACUGGGACUGAGGCACGGCCCAGACUCCUACGGGAGGCAGCAGUGGGGAAUAUUGGACAAUGGGGGGAACCCUGAUCCGGCCAUGCCGCGUGUGUGAAGAAGGCCUUAUGGUUGUAAAGCACUUUAAGCGAGGAGGAGGCUCUUUUGGUUAAUACCCAAGAUGAGUGGACGUUACUCGCAGAAUAAGCACCGGCUAACUCUGUGCCAGCCGCCGCAGUAA
rnacentral:rRNA from 1 species